ensembl:snRNA LOC120101213 U7 small nuclear RNA
AAAUGUUACAGCUCUUUUAGAAUUUGUCUAGCAGGUUUUCAGACUCUGAUUUCAGUCAGAAACCCAC